GACGAACGCUGGCGGCGUGCUUAACACAUGCAAGUCGAACGGAAAGGCCCUGCUUGCAGGGUGCUCGAGUGGCGAACGGGUGAGUAACACGUGGGUGAUCUGCCCCUUAUUUUGGGAUAAGCCUAGGAAACUGGGUCUAAUACUGGAUAGGACCAUGCUGUAGGUGGUGUGGUGGAAAGAUUAGUUUCGGUAAGGGAUGAGCUCGCGGCCUAUCAGCUUGUUGGUGGGGUAAUGGCCUACCAAGGCGUCGACGGGUAGCCGGCCUGAGAGGGUGGACGGCCACAUUGGGACUGAGAUACGGCCCAGACUCCUACGGGAGGCAGCAGUGGGGAAUAUUGCACAAUGGGCGCAAGCCUGAUGCAGCGACGCCGCGUGGGGGAUGACGGCCUUCGGGUUGUAAACUCCUUUCAGCCAUGACGAAGCCCUUGUGGUGACGGUAGUGGUAGAAGAAGCACCGGCUAACUACGUG
rnacentral:rRNA from 1 species